rnacentral:rRNA from 1 species
GACGAACGCUGGCGGCGUGCCUAAUACAUGCAAGUAGAACGCUGAAGGAGGAGCUUGCUUCUCUGGAUGAGUUGCGAACGGGUGAGUAACGCGUAGGUAACCUGCCUGGUAGCGGGGGAUAACUAUUGGAAACGAUAGCUAAUACCGCAUAAUAGUAGAUGUUGCAUGACAUUUGCUUAAAAGGUGCACUUGCAUCACUACCAGAUGGACCUGCGUUGUAUUAGCUAGUUGGUGGGGUAACGGCUCACCAAGGCGACGAUACAUAGCCGACCUGAGAGGGUGAUCGGCCACACUGGGACUGAGACACGGCCCAGACUCCUACGGGAGGCAGCAGUAGGGAAUCUUCGGCAAUGGACGGAAGUCUGACCGAGCAACGCCGCGUGAGUGAAGAAGGUUUUCGGAUCGUAAAGCUCUGUUGUAAGAGAAGAACGAGUGUGAGAGUGGAAAGUUCACACUGUGACGGUAUCUGACCAGAAAGGGACGGCUAACUACGUG